rnacentral:lncRNA from 1 species
CCCCACCAUGUCAUUAGUUCUUAUUGCUGCUACUACCAUGGCUGAAGCAGGGCCCUAUCCACUGCCGUAGAAAGUGCUACCCACUGUUGCGAAUAAGAGUGUUAACUAUAGUCAUCGUGCUGUACUGAUUUCUGUUUCAGGCUGUCCUCUACAGUCUUUGGGGAAGGCUGAGUGGACCUUAGAACUCUGGAGCAAAGCAUCAUCACUGAUGCAGCUCAUUUGCAGCAACAUGCACGUGAAGGAACAUUGUAGGUCUUCAACUGCAGCGCUAGGGAGGUUGAAAUGACAGAAGCUGGUCUGUGGGCUCUGACAUGAGUAGGAGAUCAAUGAAAACAUUGAUGACCAAUUCAUUCAUGAUCAAUUCAUCACUGUGCCGUGGCCAUCCAUCAAGUCUUGGGGCUGGAUUUGGCCCUGAGUCUGUGUUUUGUGGCCACUCCAUAAUGCAGUGCUGACCCUCAAGCAUCAGUAACAUGAGGAAACACACCUGCAGUUCACUAGAACCCAAGUGUACACUCCCAUGAAGAUGUCAGCGUGCCCCAUUUGUGACUGGCAUCAAAUCUGAUGUAUCUCUCAUUGCCCACAUGCAUAUGUGUCUUUGCAUUUUUCUGCAGGUUUCCUCAGCUCCACCUGGUGCAGCAGUAAUGAGGAGGAGGAUCCUCUCUUUGCCACAACUGACAAAGAGCAAGUCACACAUCAACCCACUCAGCUUGGAAAAUACUUGACAAGAAAUAGAACUGAAGGAUUUGCAAGCAUGUAUGCAAUCAGCAGAAAAAUGUGACACUAAAUCCCCAAAACUAUAAUUUCUUAAAUAUCAUGACUUCUCUUAAUUAUUAUCCAAAGUGUAAGUGAUAAAGAAUAGAAUGACGUUUUUACGUUUAGAUUUUUUACCUUACCUCAAGUAUCUUCCUAGAGUCAGGUAUGUUUUUCAUCUCUGGUACAAUCCCUGGUCUGGUAACAUGUGCCCAUGACAAGGCUUCACGUCUCCAGAUCUGGGUAUGGUUCCUCUUAAAAAGGUAACUCAUUUGGAAGCUUGUCCUAGUUUUUCAAACAGGGCAUCUGGAACAAUCCAGAGAGACUUCCUCUGGGAAGGCAGCACAUUUUCUGCUGCCCACUAAUGAUUUGGAGACUCCUGAGGUCAUUUCACAUGCUGGAGUCUGGGUUUCUCAGAAGUUAACCCCAGCCUGAGGGACAUUCAUAAUCCCAUCUGACGGUGUGUUGUUUUCUUAUUGUUGUUAAAUCAAGUCAGCUCUCUCUCUCUCUUUUAAGUUUUAUUGAAGUACAGUUGAUUCACAAUGUUGUGAUAAUUUCUGCUGUACAACCAAGUGAUUAAUUAUACAGACACACACACAAAAAAAUUUUUUAAAGAGGAAAAAAAAUUAUACAUAUACACACAGCCAUCUCUUUCUUUACAUGAACUGUGUAGAUUCAAGAUCUUUCUAUUCACAGAUUUCAGGGUUCCAGGAGUUCAUGGGCAAGAACGUGGGCUCUGACUGACCACUGCCACAGGGAUCCUGGUCAUUGACUUAAUGUUUUGAGCCCAUCCUUCCUCAUCUGAAAAGAAAAAGAUGGUUGGACCUGAUUGGAGUGUUGUGAUAAUGGUAGAGAAACAGAGCCAUGCUUAGUGCAUAGUAGGCAGCUGCUCCCAGUGGAUGCCUGUGGGGUGACCACAAGGCUAGAAAGUGUUGGGCAGAUUUAGGAGGAGAGAGAAUGAAGAUGUGGAACAACCAAAACAUCUCAUCCCCAAGCUAAUUUUCUAUCCCUUAGCAAUGCUUCCUAGAGCUGGCGGUUGUGUAGAAUGUUUGUGUGUGUGAUGUGGCGUCAGACACAGGCAUCAGCUUAGUCUUCCCUGAGAGUGACUCUCUGGGGAAUCCUCAAAGCUUUGGGGCUAAACCAGCAGGUUGAAUUUGAAUUUGAUCCCUUCCUCCAAAUCUAGCACCAAAGACAAGAGCUCUAGGUGUCCUUUAGACAUGGAUAAAUAGAGUUGAGAAGAGCCUCCUUAUACUGGGGAAGCUUUACCAUAUUUCUUGAUAACUGGGAAAGGUUGCUCUUGAGAGAAGAUGGGGAUGCAAUUCAUCAAACCGCUCCAGUCUAGAGAAGCAAGUGUCUAGUAAAAUGAUCUGUCACCUUGAGUCAAAGAUCUCUUUGGGGUUAGACUUUUUAUUUUUAUUUUUUUAUUUUUUGUCCAUGCCCAUAGCAUGCAGAAGUUACCAGACCAGGGAUUGUACCUGUGCCACAGCAGUGACCCAAGCCACAGCAGUGACAAUGCCAGAUCCUCAACCUGCUGAGCCACAAGGGAACUCUCUAGAUUUUUAAUUAAUUUAUUUUUAGGGGUUCAGAUUUUAUUUUAUUUAUUUUUUUACUUUGGGGUUUAUUUUCUUCAUUUUUUAAAGUUUUAUCGAAGUACAGUUGAUUUACAAGUUUAUGAUAAUUUCCACUGUACAACAGAGAUUCAGUUAUACAUGUACACAAUCUAUUCUUUUUCAGAUUCUUUUCCCACAUAUAUCAUCACAGAAUAUUGGAUAGCGUUCUCUGGCUAUAUAGCAGGUCCCUGUUGGCCAGUCAUUCUAUAUACCACAGUGUGCAUAUGCCAGUCCCAAACCCCGAGUCCUUCUCUCCCACCCUCCUACCUGUUCCCUUUGGUAACUAUAAAUUUUGCAAAGUCUGUGAGUCUGUUUCUGUUCUGCAAAUAAGUACAUUUGUAUCCUUUUUAUUUGUAUCCUUUGUUUUUUAGAUUCCACACAUAGGUGUUAACAUAUGAUAUUUAUCUUUCACUGUCUAAUUUCACCUCUUAUGAUAAUCUCUAGGUCCAUCCAUGUUGCUAUAAAUGGAAUUAGUUCAUUUUUUUAAUGGCUGAGUAGUAUCCCAUCAUAUAUAUGUACCACAUAUUCUUUAGAUUUUUUAUUUUUAAUAGAACAUCAGGUGACUUUUUCCUUAUGUUUGAAGUGCUACAAUUAUAUUCUUUUUUUUUUGUUUUCACCAGAAACCAAAUGGGCUUACUUAAAAAUACAACAGUUGAGAGAGUUAUUUAUCAAUUCAGUUAGGUACUCUUUUGUUCCACAAAUAUAUGUAAUUUUUAACUGUGGUUAAAAAAAAUACACAACAUAAACUUUACUGUCUUAGCCAUUUUAAAACAUCCAGUUCAGUAGUGUUAACUAUAUUCACACUGUAGUGCAAUAAGUUUCUAGAAUUUUUUCAUCUUGCAAAACUGAAACUCUGUAGCCAAUGAACAACAUUGCUCUCCACUCCUUUCCCCAGGAACCAACAUUCAACCUUUGGUUUCCAUGAGUUUGGAUACUUUAGAUUCCUCAUAUAAGGAGAAUCCUAGAGGGUGUGUCUUUUUGUGACUGGCUUCUUUCACUAAGUGUAAUGUCAUUUUGGUUCUCUAAUAGGUCAACGUGCUGCCCUUGUUCUCACCCGCCCCCAACUUGGCACCCAAAGUAUGCCAUCCCCUGUAGUGCUCCAAGUCAGGUGACACAGGCUAGUCCCCAGGAAGCCAAAACUUUGGAAACAUGUCCCAUUCUCCCCUCUACCUCCUGAAGGAGAAGCCAGGAGUUGGAGAUUUUCUCCUGAUUGCCCCAGGCUGUGGUGCGAGGAGGAGGGAAGGACUAUGGAAGGAACUGUCUUAUUCACCCUGAAGUGACUCCUGGCUUUGUCCUCCCCUGGGGCGCUGCUACCUCUUACCUGAUUCUACAGUUUUCACAAAGGCAGAUUGUUUUGUAUAUUGUUUUUAAGGCGAUGUCUCCAUGAGAGAAACGGGGCGGUCUACUCUACCAUGUUGCUGAAAUUUCUUUUUUUUUUUUUUAAUUCAAUUAGACUUCUUUACAGACUUUUCAUUUUAUACCCCAAACUUUCUUUCAUCCUUUUGGAGAAGCUUAGUGGAUCUGUGGACAGCAGUGCCUAAAAUCCAGGAAUAAGGUAAACGAACUCUCCACAGAGGCGUGAGCCCUGUGUGCUGGGGCAGGUGCAAGCACACAUCCAGCAAGUGACUGAAAUGCACCAAACCAUGAGCCACUUGGGGUUGGGACAGAGUUUUAAUCCUUGUGAGUUUUAUUUAUUUAUUUAUUUUGGUCUUUUUAGAACCCUACCCGUGGCAUAGGGAGACUCCCAGGCUAGGGGCCGAAUCGGAGCUGUAGCUGCCGGCCUGCACCACAGCCAUAGCAACGCCAGAUCCAAGCUGUGUUUGCGACAUAUACCACAGCUCAUGACAAUACUGGAUCCUUAACCCACUGAGCAAGGCCAGGGAUCGAACCUGAGUCCUCAUGGAUCCUAGUCAGAUUCAUUUCCUUUGAGCCACAAUGGGAACUCUUCCUUGUGAGUUUUACUCCUUUUGAUUCUUUAAUACUUGGCAUGGGGACCUGACACUCAGGCUUUGCACUGAAUAAAAUCGUCUAAUAUAUUUACGUUCUUUUUCCCUUAAGAUAAUUUUUAUUCUGAAGGUUAAUUUUCUUCCAAAAUUUGUAUAUUAAAAGAGAUGUUAGAGACCUCAGCCAGCCAUGAGCACAUUUAAAGUAACAGAUUCCCUCAACAGCUGUUCUCUGCUGCAUUUCCACUGAGGCCCUAAACUAAGUUAAAUAAACCAAAACAAAAGAACAAUUUAAUACCGACUUUAACAAACAAAUAAAAAGGAAAUAACAGUGAAGAUCUUUUUCAAGUAUAACAAAGAGAUACUCUUUUUCAAUGUAAAUAUGGAUGUUAAGAUUUCGGAAAUGUUCUUUAAUAUACUUCUGGGGCCUAAUUAUCAAAUGCCCUUAGAUAACCAUUGAAUAGAAUAAAAACCUGCAAAUCAUGGAAGAUAUGUAUAGUAUAUAAUUCAAAUAUCUUAAUUAUUGCCUUGGUUGGCAAAGAAAACAAUCAACAACCAUUCUAGAAAAAAAUCAGAGUGGACUGGAAGUAAGAAAAGAAAAGCCCCCACAUUUGCUGGGCUGUACCAGGCGCUUUCCUGCAGGAAGGCAAUUCAAGGUCAUCCUUUGUUCUCAGGGUAGUUUCUUGUAAUUGCCAAAAGGUCGACAAAUUUUUGUUUCCAUUUAGCUGUUUAGAAAAAG